GACGAACGCUGGCGGCGUGCCUAAUACAUGCAAGUCGAACGAACCGCGACUAGGUGCUUGCACUUGGUCAAGGUGAGUGGCGAACGGGUGAGUAACACGUGGGUAACCUACCUCAUUGUGGGGCGUAACAGUCGGAAACUACUGCUAAUACCGCGUAGGACAUAGGAUCACAUGAUCCAGCUAGGAAAGGUGGGGCAAGCUAUCGCCAGGAGAUGGACCCGCGGGGGAUUAGCUAGUUGGUAGGGUAAAGGCCUACCAAGGCGACGAUGCAUAGCCGACCUGAGAGGGUGAUCAGCCACACUGGGACUGAGACACGGCCCAAACUCCUACGGGAGGCAGCAGUAGGGAAUCUUCCGCAAUGGACGAAAGUCUGACGGAGCAACGCCGCGUGAGUGAAGAAGGUCUUCGGAUCGUAAAGCUCUGUUGUUAGAGAAGAACAGCGGAUAGAGUAACUGUUAUGCGUGUGACGGUACCUAAACAGAAAGCCACGGCUAACUACGUG
rnacentral:rRNA from 1 species